UACGUAGGGGGCAAGCGUUGUCCGGAUUUAUUGGGCGUAAAGCGCGCGCAGGUGGUUUCUUAAGUCUGAUGUGAAAGCCCACGGCUCAACCGUAGAGGGUCAUUGGAAACUGGGAGACUUGAGUGCAGAAGAGGAAAGUGGAAUUCCAUGUGUAGCGGUGAAAUGCGUAGAGAUAUGGAGGAACACCAGUGGCGAAGGCGACUUUCUGGUCUGUAACUGACACUGAGGCGCGAAAGCGUGGGGAGCAAACAGG
rnacentral:rRNA from 1 species